UGUGCCGGCCGCCACUGC
rnacentral:misc_RNA from 1 species